rnacentral:telomerase_RNA from 1 species
GCGGUUUUUGUGGAUGUUCUUUGUCCGCUUCUCAAAACGCCCUCCAAACCACUCCGGUGAUGAGGAGAGGAAACAAAAACUUGUC